UACGGGAGGCAGCAGUGGGGAAUAUUGGACAAUGGGCGAAAGCCUGAUACAGCCAUGCCGCGUGUAUGAAGAAGGUAUUCGGAUUGUAAAGCACUUUAAGUUGGGAGGAAGGGU
rnacentral:rRNA from 1 species